AUUGAACGCUGGCGGCAGGCCUAACACAUGCAAGUCGAACGAGUGGCGGACGGGUGAGUAAUGUCUGGGAAACUGCCCGAUGGAGGGGGAUAACUACUGGAAACGGUAGCUAAUACCGCAUACCAUCGGAUGUGCCCAGAUGGGAUGAGCUAGUGGGUGGGGUAACGGCUCACCUAGGCGACGAUCCCUAGCUGGUCUGAGAGGAUGACGGUCCACCGUGGCACUGAGACACGGCCCAGACUCCUACGGGGGGCAGCAGGGGGGAAUAUUGCACAAUGGGCGAAAGCCUGAUGCCGCCAUGCCGCGUGUAUGAAGAAGGCCUUCGGUUUGUAAAGUACUUUUACCGAGGAGGCGUUACUCGCAGAAGAAGCACCGGCUAACGCCGUGCCAGCAGCCGCGGUAAUUC
rnacentral:rRNA from 1 species